UCCCCGGUCGUCUAGCGGCAGGACGAUUGGCUCUGAACCAGUAAACGGAGGUUCGAAUCCUCCCUGGGGAA
rnacentral:tRNA from 1 species